AAAGUGACAAACAACGGUGCGCACGCUCGCCACGACACAGGCGCUCUCUCCUCCUUUUCCCCUCUCUUCGGCUGCUGCUCGUUUAUCGGCCUCGUUCUUCCCCGGACGCUUAAAAACGUGGACGAUGAAUAAUAGGACACAAACCCCGAAACGCCUCAUCGGGAUCAGGAUGCACCUGGCACAGGGCGCACGAGCGGAUGCAGGCCACAGCUGUUUCCUGUGCACGCUUCCUGGUUCGCCUUUCCAGAGGCCUGCUGUUUGCGGGUCGUAUUCGUGGACUUGGUGAGGGCGAUGUGGGCGGGUGGAUUCCGAACUUUUCCAGCAUAGAAUACAUCGGCCGCGGCCACAGACUUCCUUCGGCAGCCAGGGGGAUUUCAGCCGGGGAGCUAAUGAGAAGAUAAUGGGCUCAAUCAAUUGUUUCCUGGAUUGAACACACCCUCUACUUUCCUCAUCAACACUUGGAGGCAAGCCAGGGACGCUGCGCUGAGAGAAUCCACUCACUGGACACUUCAUUAAGUACACUUAUCGAAAUCCGAUCGUGCAAAGAUGCUGCUUAGAAGGAAGUUGAAAAGGCAUACUUCAAUAAAGAUCGGGAAUUUUCUCUCUUGUUACUUAAAAAACUGCUUGUUAACUUCUU